rnacentral:rRNA from 1 species
UACGAAGGGGGCUAGCGUUGUUCGGAAUUACUGGGCGUAAAGCGUGCGCAGGCGGCUGCUCAAGUCAGGGGUGAAAGCCCAGAGCUCAACUCUGGAACUGCCUUUGAGACUGAGUGGCUUGAGUACGGGAGAGGUGAGUGGAAUUCCCAGUGUAGAGGUGAAAUUCGUAGAUAUUGGGAAGAACACCAGUGGCGAAGGCGGCUUUCUGGCCUGUUCUUGACGCUGAGGCGCGAAAGCUAGGGUAGCAAACGGG